AUGUCAGCACCAACAGGUUAUGGGCCCAGGAGGGAACAUGGAAGCCGAUGGAAUAGAUUAUAUUUCGACGGAGAUGAAAAAAACUACGAGUUAUGGGAGACAAAGUUUUUGGGGCACUUGCGUUUGCUUGGGCUAAAGGCCGCCAUAUUGAGCGUGGAUGAAGAUGAAGAAGACGGAGAGAAAAAUGAAGAAGCCUACGCCGAAUUGAUACAGGUUUUGGAUGAUAAAAGUCUUUCCCUGAUAAUGAGAGAAGCAGCAGAUGAUGGGAGAAAAGCGUUGAAGAUAUUGAGGGAACAUUAUGCAGGUAAAGGGAAGCCACGUGUGAUUAGCCUCUACACUGAACUAACUUCUCUUCAAAAAGCCGCUGACGAAAGUGUUACGGACUAUAUCAUUCGUGCUGAGACGGCUAUUACAGCACUGAGAAAUGCUGAAGAGACUUUAAGUGAUGGGCUGUUGAUUGCAAUGAUUCUGAAAGGUUUGCCCGAAUCAUUUAAGCCGUUUGCCAUCCACAUUACGCAGAGUGACGAGCCGACAACUUUUGGCAAGUUCAAAACCAAGUUGAGGAGCUAUGAAAGCACCGAGAAGUUUAGCGCCAUUUCCACUGACGACAACGUGAUGAAGGCAAGUAACAUUAAAGUUAGCUGGCCAAGAGGGAGAGAUAAAGGGACCGAGAUAACCUGCUUCAACUGUGGCCAGAAAGGGCACAAGGCCCGGGAAUGUACCGUUACUGGAGAGCGCAAAGAACGGAGACAGUGGUGUAGUUUUUGCAAGAGAUCCACUCAUACUGACGCAAAUUGCAGACGAAAAAGAAGAGACAAUGUGAAACAAGCAACAGAUGCUGAAAGCCACACAUUUGCAUUCAGAAUAAGUGACUGUCAGGUUAGUGGACUGAAACAGAAAGGGCUGAUGGUUGAUACGGGAGCAACGUCACAUAUAGUCACGGACAUCGGGAAGUUUAAGGAGUUUGACGAGACUUUCAAACCGGAAAAACAUUCCGUGGAGCUGGCUGACGGAACAAGAACGAAUGGUGUCGCGGAGAGGAGAGGUGCAGCGGAGGUUUACCUGAGAGACAACACGGGUCGUCGGGUAAAAACAACGCUGACGAAGGCGCUGUACGUGCCGUCGUUUCCACAGGACAUUUUCUCUGUUAAAGCAGCGACAGCCAACGGAGCUUCAGUCAACUUUCGACAGGGGUGUAACAAGCUCAUCCACAAGAACGGUACCACUUUUGACAUCAAGGAGUACGAUAGACUUUACUAUCUUAACACUGUAAGUGAUGAAAAUGAUGAUGGAUGUCAUGGGUGCUAUGAUAUUCACACAUGGCACAAAAUUCUUGGCCACUGUAAUUUUGAGGAUGUGUCAAAGUUAGAAAAUGUGACAGAGGGAAUGAAAAUCACAGGUAAGAUUGACAAAUCUACCCUCAACUGUGAAAUCUGCACUCAGGGAAAAUUUGUUCAGAGCAGAAACAGAGAACCUGAUGAAAAGGUAAAAGCGGCUCUUGAGCUUGUGCACACUGAUUUGGCUGGCCCUAUUGAGCCAGAGGCGAAAGAUGGGUUCAGAUAUACUCUAGCAUUUACGGAUGAUUAUUCAGGGGCAGUUUUUGUGUAUUUCCUAAAAGCAAAGAGUGAUACUGUAAAAGCUACUGAGAAGUUUAUUGCUGAUGUGGCCCCUUAUGGGAAAAUAAAGUGUGUCAGGUCAGAUAAUGGCACAGAAUUCACAGCCAAAGAGUUCCAGUCACUGCUCAGUAAGAACGCCAUAAGACAUGAAACUUCAGCUUACUACCCCAUCAAAAUGCAAAUUGGAGAACAGUUCGAAAUGGCAAGAGCUGACUUAGCAAACUGA
rnacentral:lncRNA from 8 species